CCAGUCAUAUGGAUUCCUACGGGAGGCAGCAGUGGGGAAUAUUCCGCAAUGGGGGAAACCCUGACGGAGCGACGCCUCGUGGGUGAAGAAGUCUUUCGGGAUGUAAAGCCCUGUCGGCAGGGAUGAAGGAAGUGACAGUACCUGCAAAGGAAGCAUCGGCUAACUACGUGCCAGCAGCCGCGGUAAUACGUAGGAUGCGAGCGUUGUUCGGAAUCACUGGGCGUAAAGCGUACGUAGGCGGUAAAUUUAGCCUGCUAUUAAAGACCGGGGCUCAACUCCGGGAAUGUAGCAGAAACUGAUUUGCUAGAGGUUAGUAGAGGGAAUCGGAAUUCUCAGUGUAGCGGUGAAAUGCGUAGAUAUUGGGAAGAACACCAGUGGCGAAAGCGGAUUUCUGGGCUAAUACUGACGCUGAGGUACGAAAGCGUGGGGAGCAAACGGGAUUAGAUACCCCGGUAGUCCACGCCGUAAACGAUGGAUACUAGGUGUAGCAGGACUCGACCCUUGCUGUGCCGUAGCAAACGCAAUAAGUAUCCCGCCUGGGGAGUAUGGCCGCAAGGUUGAAACUCAAAGGAAUUGACGGGGACCCGCACAAGCGGUGGAUGAUGUGGUUUAAUUCGAUC
rnacentral:rRNA from 1 species